rnacentral:rRNA from 1 species
AUCUCUUGACGUUAGCAACAGAAGAAGCACCGGCUAACUCCGUGCCAGCAGCCGCGGUAAUACGGAGGGUGCGAGCGUUAAUCGGAAUUACUGGGCGUAAAGCGCAUGCAGGUGGUUCAUUAAGUCAGAUGUGAAAGCCCGGGGCUCAACCUCGGAACUGCAUUUGAAACUGGUGAACUAGAGUACUGUAGAGGGGGGUAGAAUUUCAGGUGUAGCGGUGAAAUGCGUAGAGAUCUGAAGGAAUACCAGUGGCGAAGGCGGCCCCCUGGACAGAUACUGACACUCAGAUGCGAAAGCGUGGGGAGCAAACAGGAUUAGAUACCCUGGUAGUCCACGCCGUAAACGAUGUCUACUUGGAGGUUGUGGCCUUGAGCCGUGGCUUUCGGAGCUAACGCGUUAAGUAGACCGCCUGGGGAGUACGGUCGCAAGAUUAAAACUCAAAUGAAUUGACGGGGGCCCGCACAAGCGGUGGAGCAUGUGGUUUAAUUCGAUGCAACGCGAAGAACCUUACCUACUCUUGACAUCCAGAGAAGCCAGCGGAGACGCAGGUGUGCCUUCGGGAGCUCUGAGACAGGUGCUGCAUGGCUGUCGUCAGCUCGUGUUGUGAAAUGUUGGGUUAAGUCCCGCAACGAGCGCAACCCUUAUCCUUGUUUGCCAGCGAGUAAUGUCGGGAACUCCAGGGAGACUGCCGGUGAUAAACCGGAGGAAGGUGGGGACGACGUCAAGUCAUCAUGGCCCUUACGAGUAGGGCUACACACGUGCUACAAUGGCGCAUACAGAGGGCGGCGAACUUGCGAGAGUGAGCGAAUCCCAAAAAGUGCGUCGUAGUCCGGAUUGGAGUCUGCAACUCGACUCCAUGAAGUCGGAAUCGCUAGUAAUCGUAGAUCAGAAUGCUACGGUGAAUACGUUCCCGGGCCUUGUACACACCGCCCGUCACACCAUGGGAGUGGGCUGCAAAAGAAGUGGGUAGUUUAACCUUUCGGGGAGGACGCUCACCACUUUGUGGUUCAUGACUGGGGUGAAGUCGUAACAAGGUAGCCCUAGGGGAACCUGGGGCUGGAUCACCU